rnacentral:misc_RNA from 1 species
AAGAGCGAAUAAAGAAGGUGGCCUCAAUGAAGAAGAAGAAGUCUAGUAAAGAAAUGGAUGCUGCUGCACGAGCUGCCGCGAUUGAGGCUGCUGCUCGAAGUGCCAAAUUGGCUGCGGCAAAGAAGAAAGAGAAGAACCACUACAACCAGCAGCCUGUGCGAUAAAUCUCUGAGAAGAAGUGCCAAGUUCCUCUGUUCAUUUGUCAACUUGAGAAUAAAGAGCAGGCUGUGUCUGUCGUGUAUUGCUUUGGCUCUGCAUAGUGAAUUAUUGUGGUUUUAAGCGUUGAAUGUUGUUCCCG